CACUAAUCAGCAGCAGACAGACAGACACUAAUAGAGCAACUUGGUCAGCAGUAACAGUCAUGAGUUCAGCUCUGUAUCUGAUCCUGCUUUUCUCAGCUCUGUGGACUCUCUCCUUCUGUGGGACUCAUCAGUUUCGUGUGGUGAAUGAAAAUAAGAACUGGACCGACGCUCAGAAAUACUGCAGAGAGAAAUACAUUGACCUGGCCACCAUUGAGAGCCAAGAGGAAAUGAACAUUUUAAUAGCUUUUCUCAAUGGGAGAGCAAACCUUUCCUGG